rnacentral:lncRNA from 1 species
CACGUCUAAAGAGUCGUUUGAAAUCCUUUGAUCAUCCACCAGUAAUCCUUUGCCUGAUUUGGGUGUACUCCUUUGAAGAAUAAGCUUCAAAUUCAUUCCCAUCUUGAGGGCACAAAUUCUGCAGGCAUAGCUGUUGUCUUGUCUUGUAGCGUGGACAAAACAGAGUAGUGGAGGUAUUGGUUGUACACUUGUACUUUGUCAACUCUGUUAACGAAGGACAAAUGCUAAGAGCUAUCCAAAUGACCGUUGAUACCUCCCUUUCACUUCUUCGUUCUUCUUAGAUUAGGUUGAAAUGAGAAACAGCUACUUUGGACCUUCAGUUUGAAUAUAUGGAUUAAUUGUAGCUUCUGGUGAUGAUAUAGCUUCUGAUGAAAAACCUUGCUUCUGAUGAACUUCUGCUUCUGAUGACGUCAUCACUUCAGAAGCACUUCAACUUCAGGAGCAGUUUUCUUUAGAUGCUUGGAAUUCUUUUGCUUUUCAUUGUUCUUCCAAGACCUGUUGAAAUUACUUGACUAGCCUUUGGUCCUGUACACUUGAACAAUAAUUAGUAAUAACCAAUUGACAAUUUUUAAUACCUUGUUAUCAUCAAAACUAAAUAAGGUUCAUUGUGAAACACAUUUUGUUCCAACAA